GCUUGGAUGGCUCAGCUGGUUAGAGCGCCGGUCUCAUAGCGCGCUUAUGAGGAAUGAUUCAUUCCGUAAUCCGGAGAUCACGAGUUCGAUCCUCGUUCCGAGCA